GACGAACGCUGGCGGCGUGCCUAAUACAUGCAAGUAGAACGCUGAAGAGAGGAGCUUGCUCUUCUUGGAUGAGUUGCGAACGGGUGAGUAACGCGUAGGUAACCUGCCUUGUAGCGGGGGAUAACUAUUGGAAACGAUAGCUAAUACCGCAUAACAAUGGAUGACCCAUGUCAUUUAUUUGAAAGGGGCAAAUGCUCCACUACAAGAUGGACCUACGUUGUAUUAGCUAGUAGGUGAGGUAACGGCUCACCUAGGCGACGAUACAUAGCCGACCUGAGAGGGUGAUCGGCCACACUGGGACUGAGACACGGCCCAGACUCCUACGGGAGGCAGCAGUAGGGAAUCUUCGGCAAUGGGGGCAACCCUGACCGAGCAACGCCGCGUGAGUGAAGAAGGUUUUCGGAUCGUAAAGCUCUGUUGUAAGUCAAGAACGAGUGUGAGAGUGGAAAGUUCACACUGUGACGGUAGCUUACCAGAAAGGGACGGCUAACUACGUGCCAGCAGCCGCGGUAAUACGUAGGUCCCGAGCGUUGUCCGGAUUUAUUGGGCGUAAAGCGAGCGCAGGCGGUUUGAUAAGUCUGAAGUUAAAGGCUGUGGCUCAACCAUAGUUCGCUUUGGAAACUGUCAAACUUGAGUGCAGAAGGGGAGAGUGGAAUUCCAUGUGUAGCGGUGAAAUGCGUAGAUAUAUGGAGGAACACCGGUGGCGAAAGCGGCUCUCUGGUCUGUAACUGACGCUGAGGCUCGAAAGCGUGGGGAGCGAACAGGAUUAGAUACCCUGGUAGUCCACGCCGUAAACGAUGAGUGCUAGGUGUUGGAUCCUUUCCGGGAUUCAGUGCCGCAGCUAACGCAUUAAGCACUCCGCCUGGGGAGUACGACCGCAAGGUUGAAACUCAAAGGAAUUGACGGGGGCCCGCACAAGCGGUGGAGCAUGUGGUUUAAUUCGAAGCAACGCGAAGAACCUUACCAGGUCUUGACAUCCCGAUGCUAUUUCUAGAGAUAGAAAGUUACUUCGGUACAUCGGUGACAGGUGGUGCAUGGUUGUCGUCAGCUCGUGUCGUGAGAUGUUGGGUUAAGUCCCGCAACGAGCGCAACCCCUAUUGUUAGUUGCCAUCAUUCAGUUGGGCACUCUAGCGAGACUGCCGGUAAUAAACCGGAGGAAGGGGGGGAUGACGUCAAAUCAUCAUGCCCCUUAUGACCUGGGCUACACACGUGCUACAAUGGUUGGUACAACGAGUUGCGAGUCGGUGACGGCAAGCUAAUCUCUUAAAGCCAAUCUCAGUUCGGAUUGUAGGCUGCAACUCGCCUACAUGAAGUCGGAAUCGCUAGUAAUCGCGGAUCAGCACGCCGCGGUGAAUACGUUCCCGGGCCU
rnacentral:rRNA from 1 species